CUGAUGCGUGUGGCUCGUAGCGCUUCCGAGUUUCUACGGUGCUUACUUAGCACACAGUAUGCAGCGUUUGCUUCGCCUCACCUCCUUCCCGUUGAAAUGAGAUACAAGCAACUGAGGCCUUGCCGACAUACUGGUGCAACCAUCUAUUCGAGUGGCUGAGGUGUCUCUUCGCACCGCUGGGCAAGUGGUCGAGGUAAGCAGCGCGGGUCUGCUUUGCCCGAAUACGAUCCCCACACUGGCUCUGCGCAGCCCCAUACGAAGAGUUCUUUCCUUCAUCUCUUUGAGUGCUUCCCUUUGCAGAGAAUACCCCGACCCAUGUUUAUCGUGGACUGGAUUGCUGCUGGCGUUGUCGCCGUACUGGUUCUCUUCCUCGCCGUAUACGUCGUUUUCAGGUACAGCGCAGAAGAGGAGGAUGGCGAUGCGUGGCUCCCGCGAGGACUCGUGAUAGUGACGCUGUGUGUGGCCUGCUACAUGGUGCUGCUACUGCCCCUGGAGGUGGCACUGAGGAGUGACAGGCCAUCUUUCGACCUCGCCUGGGCCUGGAAGGGGUUGCUGAUUGCCGCGUACUCUCUUUUGUUUGUGGGCGGGCCGUUCGCUUUUGUAUUCUACGAAAGCUGGUCGCCGACGCAAAGCAGCGUGUGGACGCAGGUGCGUCCGUCCCUGGCAGUGGUGGCAGCUGCAAAUGUAAUGUUUGCAGCUGCCUUUGGCGCCUUGUGGCUGUGGGGCGAUCACCUCGACACAAAGGAUGGAACCCUCACGCAUGUGCCACCGUUUGUGUACUUUGUGGCCACCACCUCUUCGUUUGGCUGGUGCUUCUUUUUCAUUUUCGCCGGGGUGGGCCUCGCUGCUGUGCCGCUCCGUGCCGUUGCCGCCUUUUUCAACCGUCCACGCCCGAUCACCAAGGCGGAGUACGAACUGGCUCGUGCCAAGCUGAACAUGGAGGUUCAGCACCUUCUCGACGCAGGGAGACGUCUCGAUGCGCAAGUCGGAGCUGGCCGCCCUAAUCAAAAACAGCGCCAGAAGAUGCUCCUCUUCAGGCGCGACGUGCGGGACGUCGAACGGAAAAGCGAGCGCAACGAGACUGCGUACCAUCUCUCCGGCGCCUACAUACUUCGUUGCUACAUGGCGGCCGCGAUGGGUGUCGUCAACGGUGUUUUGACUGUACUGUGGGUGCUUCACAUUCUUUUGUCCAAUAUAUUGAAUGCGUUUCCGCUGAUGGACCGCAUGAUUUGCUUCUUGAACGGCCUCCUUCCGAUGCUGGCUACGCUGGUCUACGCCUACUGCGCCAUGUACCUCAUGUGGUGCACCGUUGUCGGCUGUCGCUCAGUGAGCGGACACGUGCUUAUUCUCCCUGUGUACCCUUUGCGAGUCCGUGAAACUAUGCUCAAUGCGCUCUUGUUCAAUUCACUGUUGCUGCUUUGCUCGGCGUUCGCCGUACUGCACCUGUGCGCCGUGAGCUUCUCCACUUACGCAGCAUCUACUUUUCUGCACAAUGUCUUUGUGGUCACCCUUCCUCACAUGUUCGGGGUCAAGUAUGUCGCUCAAGGCUUUCAAUAUGCACUACUAGCUGUUUUCGCGCUCUCCAUUCCGUGGCUUACGGUGUGUCCGCGGUGCAUGACCGGCGCGGCGAGCGACGAGGACGAGGACGAUGGGCUCGUUUAGAGGGACUCUGCGUGGCGAGUCCGUACGUCCGUCGGCCUCCCCCCCACCACGAACGGUGGGUUCCCUUUUUGUUGCUUCGCGUACACGCUGUUCCCCAGUUGGCCGUGUUUUCUACUCAGCUUUUUCUUUGCCGGCAGUUCUGCAUUUACCUAAAAAACGAAAGAAAAAGAAGCAUCGCUAUUGGCAUACCAGCAGCUCUAUACAUGGGCAUGCGCUACAGUGGCACCGUCGCCAAGCUGUGUACGUUGCGACUGGUGCACUCGCCGCCCGCUCUGCUGAGCGCAUUCAACGGCUC
rnacentral:misc_RNA from 1 species